rnacentral:rRNA from 1 species
AUUGAACGCUGGCGGCAGGCCUAACACAUGCAAGUCGGACGGUAGCACAGAGGAGCUUGCUCCUCGGGUGACGAGUGGCGGACGGGUGAGUAAUGUCUGUGGAUCUGCCCGAUAGAGGGGGAUAACCACUGGAAACGGUGGCUAAUACCGCAUAACGUCGCAAGACCAAAGAGGGGGACCUUCGGGCCUCUCACUAUCGGAUGAACCCAGAUGGGAUUAGCUAGUAGGCGGGGUAACGGCCCACCUAGGCGACGAUCCCUAGCUGGUCUGAGAGGAUGACCAGCCACACUGGAACUGAGACACGGUCCAGACUCCUACGGGAGGAAGCAGUGGGGAAUAUUGCACAAUGGGCGCAAGCCUGAUGCAGCCAUGCCGCGUGUAUGAAGAAGGCCUUCGGGUUGUAAAGUACCUUCAGCGGGGAGGAAGGCGAUAAGGUUAAUAACCUUGUCGAUUGACGUUACCCGCAGAAGAAGCACCGGCUAACUCCGUGCCAGCCGCCGCGGUAA